UUUCCUACUCCACUACCACUUGUCUGCUACAGGAAGUCAUCUGCAGGGCGCGAGGGAAGUGGAGGAGUCAAGGAGACACAUGUGAACAGAAAUGAACAUCAUGAUCCUUCCCUCUGUCCUGCACUGAUCCAUCAGGUCAGAACAAGUUCAGCAGUGUAACUAGUGGAAAAUCUCGCCGGUGUCUGUGCCCGUCUCCAGCUCGUUUGAAUCCACUGUCUGCGAGCUGUUUGGUCCCACUCCAACCAUCAUUGCUACUGUCUACUGUCACUUUUGUAUUGUUUUUAUUUUUAUAUUUCAUUUUUAUUGUUGUUAAUUAAUUCUUAAUAUGUUUUUAAUCUCAAUUUGUGUAACUGUGUACGGUGUCCUUGAGUGCCAAGAAAGGCGCCUUUAAAUAAAAUGUAUUAUUAUUAUUAUUAUUUAUUAUUAAACUGAGAUAAGAGUUUGCUGUUAGGAACUCUCUCAAAUUUUGCUUUUUCAAGUGAAUUCAGCUCACUGAGAGGAAGCAACAUAACAUCAGUCAAGGGAUCGUACAUCCUCUUCUCUGUUCUCCAGGGUAGCACAAGUUUUUGAUCAUAGACCAGCCUCUGACCUCAGUUUUCAGACGCUUUAAGGCUUAGUAAGAGAACCCGAAUUCUCCUACUGCCUCAAUUCAGACAUGGUUUUAAAAGGCAACACCUUUGUGUGGGGAAAAAAUGUAUGUCAGACUCCAAGUACACAGUGUUCAAAGUAAUCACAGGCCAUAAUUUGUUCUGGCAGGGUACAAGCUCACUUGUGAGAUUUUUUUUAUUAAGCUGUUGACUUUUUAUGGGUGUGGUUCCCUGUGUAACAAUUCAAGUCAAAUAACAUUAGCAUGUAUCGUUAAGAUGUGAACAGUAGAUAGGUGAAAGAAAUGUCUUUUAUCUACUGAUAUUAUCCCACCAAAGCAUCCAUUAAAAAAAUACAAAAUCAUAGUUCUAAUGUUAUCGGUGGCUAGAGUGGAUAUUCAGGAAUCUAAACAG